GGGGUGACAACACACACCACAGUGAUAUCCCUAGCAGGGGGGUGACAACACACACCACAGUGAUAUCCCUAGCAGGGGGGGUGACAACACACACCACAGUGAUAUCCCUAGCAGGGGGUGACAACACACACCACAGUGAUAUCCCUAGCAGGGGGGUGACACACACACCACAGUGAUAUCCCUAGCAGGGGGAUAACACACACCACAGUGAUAUCCCUAGCAGGGGGAUGACACACACACCACAGUGAUAUCCCUAGCAGGGGGGUGACAACACACACCACAGUGAUAUCCCUAGCAGGGGGUGACAACACACACCACAGUGAUAUCCCUAGCAGGGGGACAACACACACCUCAGUGAUAUCCCUAGCGGGGGGUGACAACACACACCACAGUCAUAUCCCUAGCAGGGGGGGGGGAUGACAACACACACCACAGUGAUAUCCCUAGCAGGGGGUGACAACACACACCACAGUGAUAUCCCUAGCAGGGGAUGACAACACACACACACCUCAGUGAUAUCCCUAGCAGGGGGGUGACAACACACACCACAGUCAUAUCCCUAGCAGGGGUGACAACACACACCACAGGGAUAUCCCUAGCAGGGGGGUGACAAGUGACUCUCAGCUGCCUGUACAACUCUACCAGCUAUCAGCAGCUCUGUGUGUGGGUGAAACAGGAUGGUAAGUGGAUGUGUCAGACAGGAUGGUGUGGAUGUGUCAGACAGGAUGGUGUGGAUGUGUCAGACAGGAUGGUGUGGAUGUGUCAGACAGGAUG
ensembl:lncRNA